AGGCUUAACACAUGCAAGUCGAGCGCCCCGCAAGGGGAGCGGCAGACGGGUGAGUAACGCGUGGGAAUCUACCUUUUGCUACGGAAUAACGCAGGGAAACUUGUGCUAAUACCGUAUGUGUCCUUCGGGAGAAAGAUUUAUCGGCAAGAGAUGAGCCCGCGUUGGAUUAGCUAGUUGGUGGGGUAAAGGCCUACCAAGGCGACGAUCCAUAGCUGGUCUGAGAGGAUGAUCAGCCACAUUGGGACUGAGACACGGCCCAAACUCCUACGGGAGGCAGCAGUGGGGAAUAUUGGACAAUGGGCGCAAGCCUGAUCCAGCCAUGCCGCGUGAGUGAUGAAGGCCCUAGGGUUGUAAAGCUCUUUCACCGGAGAAGAUAAUGACGGUAUCCGGAGAAGAAGCCCCGGCUAACUUCGUGCCAGCAGCCGCGGUAAUACGAAGGGGGCUAGCGUUGUUCGGAAUUACUGGGCGUAAAGCGCACGUAGGCGGAUCGAUCAGUCAGGGGUGAAAUCCCAGGGCUCAACCCUGGAACUGCCUUUGAUACUGUCGAUCUGGAGUAUGGAAGAAGUGAGUGGAAUUCCGAGUGUAGAGGUGAAAUUCGUAGAUAUUCGGAGGA
rnacentral:rRNA from 1 species